rnacentral:lncRNA from 1 species
GCUGGAGGCUCCUAAGGAAAACAUGUUAUGCAGAAGGGAAAUCCACAUGACUGGAUCACUAGAAGGGUUCCCCAUCAUGAAAAAAGGAAAGUACCGGAGCUCACUUCAGACUGCACUGCAUUUUACCAGAUGUACAAAACAGAGAGAGUGGAUUUUGUAUU